rnacentral:rRNA from 1 species
AUUGAACGCUGGCGGCAGGCCUAACACAUGCAAGUCGAACGGUAAUAGGAAGAAGCUUGCUUCUUUGCUGACGAGUGGCGGACGGGUGAGUAAUGUCUGGGAAACUGCCUGAUGGAGGGGGAUAACUACUGGAAACGGUAGCUAAUACCGCAUAACGUCGCAAGACCAAAGAGGGGGACCUUCGGGCCUCUUGCCAUCGGAUGUGCCCAGAUGGGAUUAGCUAGUAGGUGGGGUAACGGCUCACCUAGGCGACGAUCCCUAGCUGGUCUGAGAGGAUGACCAGCCACACUGGAACUGAGACACGGUCCAGACUCCUACGGGAGGCAGCAGUGGGGAAUAUUGCACAAUGGGCGCAAGCCUGAUGCAGCCAUGCCGCGUGUAUGAAGAAGGCCUUCGGGUUGUAAAGUACUUUCAGCGGGGAGGAAGGGAGUAAAGUUAAUACCUU